rnacentral:antisense_RNA from 1 species
UCUUGCUGCUCAGCUGAAUACAAGGCCUCAGCGGUUUGCUGGGCUUUGGCGAGAUCUUAAAGGCAAACCUCUCUCGGCGCAAGGAAGGAGCCAUGCAGUUGUAUCUGUACUCGAUGUCCACAGCCAUCAUGGGGCUAGAUGAACAGGCUAGAACCCUGGAAAGGGAAGAGAAGAAAACAGCAGAGCAAUCAGAUCGGACAGAUGUGUAAAGGCAUCAUUCCAGCAGGGACCGGCAAACAAUGUUUCCUUUUAUCUAUGCCCACAUGGCGACAGGUCCACUUAUGCUCAGAUUCUCUUCUGCCUCUGCCGCCCCUGAGACAGCAAGACCAACCCCUUCUCCUCCUCUUCCUCCUCCUCAGCCUACUCAAUGUGAAGAGGAUGAGAAUGAAGACCUUUAUGAUGACCCACAUCCAUUUAAUGAAUAGUAAAUACAUUUUCUCUGUCCUA